CCAAGGCGCUUGAGAGAACUCUGGUGAAGGAACUAGGCAAAAUGGCACCGUAACUUCGGGAGAAGGUGCGCCGCUUUUGGUGAUGGGACUUGCUCCCUAAGCUGAGGGCGGUUGAAAAUACCAGGUGGCUGCGACUGUUUACUAAAAACACAGCACUCUGCAAACACGUAAGUGGACGUAUAGGGUGUGACGCCUGCCCGGUGCCGGAAGGGUAAGAGGAGGGGUGCAA
rnacentral:rRNA from 14 species